CCUACGGGCGGCUGCAGUGGGGAAUAUUGCACAAUGGGCGCAAGCCUGAUGCAGCCAUGCCGCGUGUGUGAAGAAGGCCUUCGGGUUGUAAAGCACUUUCAGCGGGGAGGAAGGCGGUGAGGUUAAUAACCUCAUCGAUUGACGUUACCGGCAGAAGAAGCACCGGCUAACUCCGUGCCAGCAGCCGCGGUAAUACGGAGGGUGCAAGCGUUAAUCGGAAUUACUGGGCGUAAAGCGCACGCAGGCGGUCUGUCAAGUCGGAUGUGAAAUCCCCGGGCUCAACCUGGGAACUGCAUUCGAAACUGGCAGGCUAGAGUCUUGUAGAGGGGGGUAGAAUUCCAGGUGUAGCGGUGAAAUGCGUAGAGAUCUGGAGGAAUACCGGUGGCGAAGGCGGCCCCCUGGACAAAGACUGACGCUCAGGUGCGAAAGCGUGGGGAGCAAACAGGAUAGAUACCCGAGUAGUC
rnacentral:rRNA from 1 species